GUGCNAGCGUUNAUCGGAAUNACUGGGCGUAAAGGGCACGCAGGCGGNCUUUUAAGUGAGAUGUGAAAUCCCCGAGCUUAACUUGGGAACUGCAUUUCAGACUGGGAGUCUAGAGUCUCGUAGAGGGGGGAAGAAUUCCAGGUGUAGCGGUGAAAUGCGUAGAGAUCUGGAGGAAUACCGGUGGCGAAGGCGGCCCCCCUGGAAUGUACUGACGCUCAUGUGCUAAAGCGUGGGGAGCAAACAGGAUUAGAUACCCUGGUAGUCCACGCUGUAAACGCUGUCGAUUUGGGGAUUGGGCUAUAUGCUUGGUGCCNNUAGCUAACGUGAUAAAUCGACCGCCUGGGG
rnacentral:rRNA from 1 species